UACGUAGGGGGCAAGCGUUGUCCGGAUUUAUUGGGCGUAAAGAGCGUGUAGGCGGCCAGGUAGGUCAGCUGUGAAAACUCGAGGCUCAACCUCGAGACGUCGGUUGAAACCAUCUGGCUAGAGUCCGGAAGAGGAGAGUGGAAUUCCUGGUGUAGCGGUGAAAUGCGCAGAUAUCAGGAAGAACACCAGUGGCGAAGGCGGCCAUCUGGACGGUUUCUGACGCUAAGACGCGAAAGCGUGGGGAGCAAACAGG
rnacentral:rRNA from 1 species